rnacentral:rRNA from 1 species
GACGAACGCUGGCGGCGUGCUUAACACAUGCAAGUCGAACGGAAAGGCCUGCUUUCCCUUGUGGAUUGCGGGUACUCGAGUGGCGAACGGGUGAGUAACACGUGAGUGAUCUGCCCCCAACUUGGGUAUAAGCCUGGGAAACUGGGUCUAAUUCCCGAUAGGACUGCAGGGUGGUGCCUGUGGUGGAAAACGAUUUUCUAGUGGUUGGGGAUGAGCUCGCGGCCUAUCAGCUUGUUGGUGGGGUAAUGGCCUACCAAGGCGGCGACGGGUAGCCGGCCUGGGAGAGUGGACGGCCACAUUGGGACUGGGAUACGGCCCAGACUCCUACGGGAGGCAGCAGUGGGGAAUAAUGCACAAUGGGCGGAAGCCUGAUGCAGCGACGCCGCGUGGGGGAUGACGGCCUUCGGGUUAUAAACUCCUUUCGACCGCGAGGAAGCCACCUGGUUGGAAGGGUGGUGACGGUAGUGGUAGAAGAAGCACCGGCUAACUACGUG